rnacentral:rRNA from 1 species
AUUGAACGCUGGCGGCAUGCCUAACACAUGCAAGUCGAACGAGUGGCGGACGGGUGAGUAAUGUCUGGGAAACUGCCUGAUGGAGGGGGAUAACUACUGGAAACGGUAGCUCAUACCGCAUACCAUCGGAUGUGCCCAGAUGGGAUUAGCUAGUAGGCGGGGUAAAGGCUCACCUAGGCGACGAUCCCUAGCUGGUCUGAGAGGAUGACCAGCCAAACUGGAACAGAGACACGGUACUGACUCCUACGGGAGGCAGCAGUGGGGAAUAGUGCACAAUGGGCGCAAGCAUGAUGCAGCCAUGCCGCGUGUAAGAAGAAGGAUUUCGGGUGGUAAAGUAAUUUCAGAGGGGAGGCGUUACCCGCAGAAGAAGCACCGGCUAACUCCGUGCCAGCAGCCGCGGUAAUAC